rnacentral:rRNA from 1 species
UGUGGCUUCCGGAACUAACGCGUUAAGUCGACCGCCUGGGGAGUACGGCCGCAAGGUUAAAACUCAAAUGAAUUGACGGGGGCCCGCACAAGCGGUGGAGCAUGUGUUAAUUCGAUGCAACGCGAAGAACCUUACCUACUCUUGACAUCCAGAGAACUUAGCAGAGAUGCUUUGGUGCCUUCGGGAACUCUGAGACAGGUGCUGCAUGGCUGUCGUCAGCUCGUGUUGUGAAAUGUUGGGUUAAGUCCCGCAACGAGCGCAACCCUUAUCCUUUGUUGCCAGCGGUUAGGCCGGGAACUCAAAGGAGACUGCCAGUGAUAAACUGGAGGAAGGUGGGGAUGACGUCAAGUCAUCAUGGCCCUUACGAGUAGGGCUACACACGUGCUACAAUGGCGCAUACAAAGAGAAGCGACCUCGCGAGAGCAAGCGGACCUCAUAAAGUGCGUCGUAGUCCGGAUUGGAGUCUGCAACUCGACUCCAUGAAGUCGGAAUCGCUAGUAAUCGUAGAUCAGAAUGCUACGGUGAAUACGUUCCCGGGCCUUGUACACACCGCCCGUCACACCAUGGGAGUGGGUUGCAAAAGAAGUAGGUAGCUUAACCUUCGGGAGGGCGCUUACCACUUUGUGAUUCAUGACUGGGGUGAAGUCGUAACAAGGUAACCAAGGGCGAAUUCCAG